CCUACGGGAGGCAGCAGUGGGGAAUAUUGCACAAUGGGGGAAACCCUGAUCCAGCGACGCCGCGUGAGUGAAGAAGGAUUUCGGUAUGUAAAGCUCUAUCAGCAGGGAAGAAAGAAAUGACGGUACCUGACUAAGAAGCCCCGGCUAACUACGUGCCAGCAGCCGCGGUAAUACGUAGGGGGCAAGCGUUAUCCGGAGUUACUGGUGGUAAUGGGAGCGUAGACGGCGAUGCAAGUCUGAAGUGAAAGGCGGGGGCUCAACCCGCGGACUGCUUUGGAAACUGUAUGGCUAGAGUGCAGGAGAGGGAAGUGGAAUUCCUAGUGUAGCGGUGAAAUGCGUAGAUAUUAGGAGGAACACUAGUGGCGAAGGCGGCUUACUGGACUGUAACUGACGUUGAGGCUCGAAAGCGUGGGGAGCAAACAGGAUUAGAUACCCGGGUAGUC
rnacentral:rRNA from 1 species